rnacentral:rRNA from 1 species
GUGGGUAACCUGCCCUAAAGUGGGGGAUAACAUUUGGAAACAGAUGCUAAUACCGCAUAAAACCUAGCACCGCAUGGUGCAAGGUUGAAAGAUGGUUUCGGCUAUCACUUUAGGAUGGACCCGCGGUGCAUUAGUUAGUUGGUGAGGUAAAGGCUCACCAAGACCGUGAUGCAUAGCCGACCUGAGAGGGUAAUCGGCCACACUGGGACUGAGACACGGCCCAGACUCCUACGGGAGGCAGCAGUAGGGAAUCUUCCACAAUGGACGAAAGUCUGAUGGAGCAACGCCGCGUGAGUGAAGAAGGUUUUCGGAUCGUAAAACUCUGUUGUUGGAGAAGAACGUAUUUGAUAGUAACUGAUCAGGUAGUGACGGUAUCCAACCAGAAAGCCACGGCUAACUACGUGCCAGCAGCCGCGGUAAUACGUAGGUGGCAAGCGUUGUCCGGAUUUAUUGGGCGUAAA